GUUUUGCCGAGAAGGGAUCGCGCAGAAUGCGCAGGUCCGGACGUUCGGCGACGGUGUAACCCGAAGCGAAGUCUCCGAAGGCAAUCGCCGACGUACCCAACCCGAUGUCCGGCAUGUCCUCAAGAACCAGCACAGGGUAACCGAGCAGACGCGCUGGCUCCCCCGCCGCAAGGCCGUCCGACCACAGGAAGCGACCGUCCGCGUCCUUGAUCUUUCGCACAACGCCAGCCGUCUUCGAGUUCGUCACGAAGGUGCCGUUGGCGCGGUAGCGUGCACCAAGCGCGUAGACCAGAUCGACGAUUGCGUCGGCGGGUGCCGCCGAAUUGAAAUCGCCAUCGACACCGGUCACCACGUAACCAAGGUUGCCCCAGCUCCAAGACGCAUCGGCCACGGAGGCAUGGUUCAGAAUGCCCGUCGGCUUGUCAGCCCCAUCGCCGGUAACGAAAGCCGCUGCCUCCGCACGUGCGAAUUUGUCGGCAAUCCGGCUCGCCAGCCAGCCCUCGACAUCGAACGCGCUGUCAUCGAGCAACCGCUGCGAGGCCUUGGGAAGCGCCGACAACUCGUGCAGCGGGAUCGAGAUGCGGUCGAUCUGCGGAGUGGACGUCUCGGUGACCGAUCCGGUCUCGCUCGACCAUCCGGUACCAACCUCAGUGUGGUCGACGAGCACGUCGUAUGACGUCGCUUCGACAUUUACGACCGCCGCGAUCGAACGCAACGAGGCCUGCGAUUUCAGAACGCUCUGCACGGUGUCCGAGGUUUGGGGAUCGACCAGAUAGCCA
rnacentral:rRNA from 1 species